rnacentral:lncRNA from 1 species
GAAUCUUGUAUAACUGACUGAGGAAACUUCUAGGAAAGUGGAUUUGGGGUUAUUUUGAAAAGCUGAUUUUUAAACUAAGGACCAAGUAGCAAAAACAAAAUUUGAGAAAGGAUUGAAGGGCAAAAACUGAACUCAUUUUUGCUGCGCUAAAACUCCCUUAUAAAAGGCUAAUUGCUUCAUUUUCAAGUCAGAUUAGAGAAUUUAGAGACUGAAAAAAGCAUUGAAACUUGAAAGACGGCUGGGUUUUCCUUUCAAGUAAAAAAGUACUAAAACUUGCUUGAAUUUUGCUUGGUUUUUGAGUUCUAAUACCCUUUGGUAAGUCAUAAGUUCAUAAGUUCAAAAGUUCAGUAGAAUAGCUCAUUUGGGAUUUAAAAAAUCUGGAAUUGGAUCGAGAAUUUGAAGCUUAUUUUGUUUGGUUUUGUACUAUUACAUUGCUGCUUUUUUGCUGAUGUUGUUUCCUCCUAAUCUCCAGCCUUAUUUUUGGUUUAUUUUGUAUUCAGGUACAUGUUUCUGAAUCCUACCUAAUGUGAGGCUUGAUUUUAAAGUAUGAAAUUGAUAUCUUGAGCUUUAAGCAUGGCUUUAACUCACUUAUUCAUAGUUUAGCUUUACUUUGUUCUGAAGUACAUCGUUCCAAUUUGACCGAUGUAUUGUAUUUGGUCUAGUUGCUGACAGUACUCUCUUAAGAGUUGUAUUUCGUCUGUAUGUAGCGUUGAAAUCAAUUCUAUAUCAAGUAUAUUAUAGCUAGAUGUUGGUUUUGACAACUGAAUUAUUAUCAUUGUAUUUGAUCUUGGACUAUUAUGGAAACUUGAUGAACAACCUACUUAGUCAAUUCAGUAGUUAGUUUCUGCAUUCAACCAUGUAAAAUAGUAUAAUGUGAACUGCAUUUGAACUCUCUUUGCUUUACAUUUCAUUUGGACUGUUAUAGCAUGUUUGUGGUACACAAAUAAUACUUUACUUCAUAGAAUUGAUCAUUAAUGUUUCCUAAGCUAGUAGUUAGUCUAUUUAAGUUGUAUUCUAUGUUAAAUCCAUGCUCCCAUGGUUGGUGUUUGAAUAUUAGGUUACUGGACUUGAUGUUUUAAAUUCAUGGUUGUCUAAUGUCCAUUCCAUAAAGUUCUGUUGAUAUGUUGUGGGUCAAAAAUCUUAAUUGAGGUUCUG